UUCUUUUAAUGCACAUUGAGCUUGAUGUAGUAGCUUUUCAAUUUAUCGUCACAGAUCACUUUGAAUUUUUCUACCCAUCUCACUAUAAGAUGUUCCUUCAGAGUUGAAGAUUAUUACUUCCUAGUCCAAACCUCCCGCAGGACGACAGGGAAUGGGAGCGGGCAGGGUUUAAACCCUGGACCACUGACAAAUCUGAACGACAGUCCAGCGCGCAAACCGCACGACCAAAAUAUCUAGUCUAGAUCUAGUGGAUCUAUUUCUAUAUGUCUGAAUCAUUAUAUUAUUAUAUAAAUCUAUAAUAAUAGAUUUUUAUUCUGUACGCGAUAGUGAUUUGGGGUAUUAUAGUCAAUCCAGAUGAGACAGCAAUUAGUAUGCGUAUUUGUGAUACUUAGAUUAGAAAGUAAUAGUAAGAUCUAGUAGGGCUGUAGAUCUAGUCUAUAAAUUAUACCAUAUUAGUGAGUUUUACUAUAGAUUUAUAUUUUCUGUUUGUAAAAUGUUUCAGAUGUUCCUUCAGAGUUGAAGAUUAUUACUUCCUAGUCCAAACCUCCCGCAGGACGACAGGGGAUGGGAGCAGGCAGGGUUUAAACCCUGGAUCACUGACAAAUCUGAACGACAGUCCAGCGCGCAAACUGCACGACCAAGUAGCCAUCCAUUUUCUAGAUCGUUAUUAUUUAUUCUACUUUUGCCUGCUAUGUUUGGAAUUAUAUAUAUUUAUCUUUUGAGAUCCAUAAGCUUUUAAAGUUUAAAAUGUGCACAAUUUAAUUUAAUGUUAAGAAAUUACCAGAGAAAAACACAAGGCUCGUAUGGUCAACAUUCUUGACAGGAGAUUUAAAAGCUAUCGCUGAUGGGAUGCCACUUAACAAUGUCUCCGAAAAAAUUACAUUUAUAAUUAUUAAAUAUUUCACUUAUACUUUUUAAA